ncrna:unclassified sequences Glutamine-II riboswitch (downstream peptide RNA)
AGACGUUCACCUUGCCUCCCUCGGCAAGGCGCAGUUCGACUCAGGCCAUGGAACGGGGACCUGAG